rnacentral:rRNA from 1 species
AGUGAACGCUGGCGGUAGGCCUAACACAUGCAAGUCGAACGGCAGCACAGUAAGAGCUUGCUCUUACGGGUGGCGAGUGGCGGACGGGUGAGGAAUACAUCGGAAUCUACUUUUUCGUGGGGGAUAACGUAGGGAAACUUACGCUAAUACCGCAUACGACCUACGGGUGAAAGCAGGGGAUCUUCGGACCUUGCGCGAUUGAAUGAGCCGAUGUCGGAUUAGCUAGUUGGCGGGGUAAAGGCCCACCAAGGCGACGAUCCGUAGCUGGUCUGAGAGGAUGAUCAGCCACACUGGAACUGGGACACGGUCCAGACUCCUACGGGAGGCAGCAGUGGGGAAUAUUGGACCAUGGGCGGAAGCCUGAUCCAGCCAUACCGCGUGGGUGAAGAAGGCCUUCGGGUUGUAAAGCCCUUUUGUUGGGAAAGAAAAGCAGCAGGUUAAUACCCCGCUGUUCUGACGGUACCCAAAGAAUAAGCACCGGCUAACUUCGUG